UACGUAGGUGGCAAGCGUUGUCCGGAAUUAUUGGGCGUAAAGCGCGCGCAGGCGGUCUUUUAAGUCUGAUGUGAAAGCCCACGGCUCAACCGUGGAGGGUCAUUGGAAACUGGGGGGCUUGAGUGCAGGAGAGAAGAGUGGAAUUCCACGUGUAGCGGUGAAAUGCGUAGAGAUGUGGAGGAACACCAGUGGCGAAGGCGACUUUCUGGGCUGUAACUGACGCUGAGGCGCGAAAGCGUGGGGAGCAAACAGG
rnacentral:rRNA from 1 species